GUCCUUGUUGAUUAGUGGUGAAAUCAUCUCGUUGUGGUAUUUGCGGCUUAAAUCUGUACAUAUUUCGAGAUGCCGGAAGUUCAAAUCCUCCCUGGGACA
rnacentral:tRNA from 1 species